UCUCGUUCCUCUCUUCAUUUCUCAUAACACCCCAUCCUUCGCGGGCUCCUCACCCAUCCCCUCCAAAUCCUUCAUCGGCGGCACCUCUCGCCGUUGCACCGCCGUUGCCCGAAGCUCCAUCAGACCCCUUUCCCAAUCUCUCCAUUACACCCGGUCACCAGUCUCUCUCUUUCAUCUUCGACGCCGAUUAAUUUCGCCACCCUCUCGACACCGUUUUCUGUCGCUGCUCAUUGAAGCUCGUCAGCGUCGUCGCCGCUUCUACCUUUUCUUCUCGUCGCGGUUAGUUUAGGGUUUUGUUACAGACACAGAGAUGGCAAGCUUUAUGUGAAGGAACUCCAAUUUGUUGAGCAUUGAAUUGAAUCAGAUUGGGUCAUAGCACAUGGCAUCAUGGCUUUGAUCUUUUGGUACCUUGCUAAUUCUGUAGAUUUAAAGAGCAAAGAUGCUUCCCAAUCCUUUUAUAUGUUUAUCUUUAAGCUUCUUUGUGUGGAGAACAUCCUUAUACUUUUCGUGAGAUGAAGAUGCAGAUGAAUUAUUCAUAUAAUAAAUAGUGCAAAAUUUUCUGCUACAUAUCGUGGUUCAAUAAAUAAUUUUGUAUCUUGCAUUGCAAUACUACAUGUUUAUGGAACAAAUCAGUGUUACACGGUUUGAAUUAAGAUCAUGUAAUCUCUAAGCUAAAUAAAUCACAUCUAAAACUUCAAUUUGGAAAUUCUUUCUAAAAACCAAAUAAUCACACUUAGCUAGAGUUCGAAUUCAUGUGAAGCUAAGUCUUAUAUGAUCUAACCUUUGUUUGUAGGCUGGUUAUAGACACAUAGACACUGCUGCACAGUAUGGAGUCCAAGAAGAUGUUGGACAUGGACUUCAAUCUGCUAUGAUAGCAGGAGUGGAUAGGAAGGAUCUCUUUGUCACCUCCAAAUUAUGGUGCACUGACUUGACCCCUGAAAGGGUUAGACCUGCCCUUAACAACACCCUUCAAGAACUCCAACUUGACUACCUUGAUCUUUACUUGUUCAUUGGCCU